rnacentral:misc_RNA from 1 species
AAAGAUAGCAGAAACAUGAGUAAGAUUACCAGCUAUGUGCGGAGCAUGAGCACAUAAAUAUUUGAAGCCUAACCAGUAUACACUGGAAUAUUUUUGCACGCGUGUCUCAGCUUUAGAAAAUGUAGGUCAAGACUGGGAAAAAAAAGGUUCUGCAAAUGGUGGAAUUAUUCUUUGGUGCAAGAUUAUGCCAGUGCUCAGAAAUUUAUGUAUGGACAUAGGUGGU